rnacentral:rRNA from 1 species
UGGGGGAUAUUGCACAAUGGAGGAAACCCUGAUGCAGCAACGCCGCGUGAAGGAAGAAGGCCUUCGGUUGUAAACUUUUGUCCUUGGUGACGAAGAAAGUGACGGUAGCCAAGGAGGAAGCCACGGCUAACUACGUGCCAGCAGCCGCGGUAAUACGUAGGUGGCAAGCGUUAUCCGGAAUUACUGGGUGUAAAGGGUGCGUAGGCGGUUUGUAAAGUCAGAUGUGAAAUGCCGUGGCUUAACCACGGAGCUGCAUUUGAAACUUACAGACUUGAGUGAAGUAGAGGUAAGCGGAAUUCCUAGUGUAGCGGUGAAAUGCGUAGAUAUUAGGAGGAACACCAGUGGCGAAGGCGGCUUACUGGGCUUUAACUGACGCUGAGGCACGAAAGC